rnacentral:lncRNA from 1 species
GAGGAGCCAUGAGAAUGAGGCCGAGGCCCUCCGUGGGGAGAUCCAGAGCCUGAAGGAGGAGAACAACCGACAGCAGCAGCUGCUGGCCCAGAACCUGCAGCUGCCCCCAGAGGCCCGCAUUGAGGCCAGCCUGCAGCACGAGAUCACCCGGCUGACCAACGAAAACUUUAUUUUGAGGAAUUAUAUGCAGAUGACCCUAAGAAGUAUCAAUCAUAUCGGAUUUCCCUUUACAAACGGAUGAUGAUUUGAUGGAACAACUUGAAAAACAGGAUAAGACGGUCCGUAAACUGAAAAAACAACUGAAAGUAUUUGCCAAAAAAAUUGGCGAACUAGAAUGGGCCAGAUGGAGAACAUAUCCCCAGGACAGAUCAUUGAUGAAC